ACGACAGCCUCGGGCACUGCUAAACUUGCAGACUUCGUCAGACUCCAGCUUUACCUUUUUACCGUGGGAACGCGCAUACUUGUCCUAGUCCCACCUAUCUAACUGGAGCGCAGCGUUUCCAGGCAGGUAAAGAGGAAGCUGUGCACGGCCUGAUCCGUCCAAAUAUACAGAGAAAAUCUUCUGUAAAUGAACUUAUUGCCAUUAAAUCGUUUAACUGGAUGAAAGUCAGGAGGAAUCCACCCAAAACAGCUCCAAGGAACAGAAGAGAGUCCAAAAAGAAGGCAAGUGAAUUGUCAUAGCUGGCUCUUUCAGCUAAAACUAAGGAAUGUUUUGUGAUCCCGGGUGAUCAUGGGUCAAAUAAGCAUCUAUUAGUUCUAGUAGAAGAAGCCAAUCUCUAUCUACAAGGCAAUCUUGGAGGAGAAGAAUGUCUUCCAUUUUUAAAUGAUGUAAGGCCAGAGGGACGUGCUGGCAUGAAGGAUCACAGCUCUACUUCAAGGACCAAUUAUACAACCAAGCAGAUAACUGAGCUGGAAAAAGAAUUCCAUUUUACGCCAUACCUAAGCAGAGCUCGCCGGAUGGAGGUAGCCUCUGCUCUGCAUAUCAGUGAACCCCAGAUCAAGAUCUGGUUCCAAAACCGAAGAAUGAAGCAGAAGAGGCGAGAAAGGGAAAGUGUAGGGCUGUCACAUGGAGAAGAAUAAUCUGUAUCUGAUAAAUCAGAUACCCCUCCAGUCUCAUCCCCAAGUGGUAUCAGUGACACCUUCAGCACAGCCCUUCUAUGACCUUUGAGCCCUAGACAUGAACUGUUCUGUCAUCAACCUUCAUUAGAACCUGUCUGUGAUGACCAUUAUUUUCAGAUGAUGUAUAAUAUAAUUUGGUGCCACCUAGUCAAUGUGUUUUGGUAACAUCUGACUUCCUAAAUUAUAUAUUCAGAGUCAGUUGUAGAUUUUUUCUUUUCGUCCUGUAAUAGGUGCAGCUAUCAGGUAAACAUACAUUGUUUUCUUUCAUACAGGUGGUGAGAGUCCACAAUCCAUUACUCCUGGGAACUAAUACCAAAGCUGUGGAGUCCACAAGUAAUAAUAAAAAAGGGUGAGAUCUAAAAAACAUCCUUUUUUCAAUGAGAAACUAAAUCCACAAUCCAACAGGCAGAAAUAUAUCAACCUGAGACAACUGCCUGAAGGACUCCCUACCAAAGGCUGCCUCAGAAGAAGCAAGAACAUUAAACAUUUUUUGCAAAGGAGACCAAAUAUCUGAUUAGCAAAAAAAUGGUUCACUGAUAAACCAUUCUAAAAUCAAGAAGAGGCAACUGAUUUGUAGAAAGCCAUCUAGGUGGAGGCUGACCUGCGUCCAACAAAAGAAAAAGCAGACAUUUUCUGAACUUCCUAGAACCAAAAAAGGAAAAAACUAAAAGUUAACAUUUUAAGACCCUUAUCCAAACCAUCUUGUAAAAAUGGCAAUACAUUUGGGAAUUCAAAAAGAAUGCCAAGAAAAAACCUGAUUCGAACACCAAGAACUAAAGGCCUUCUAGAUAUUUAAAUAACAAUUCCCCUAGUCACAGACUUACAAGUCUGUAUAAGAAACUCAAUAACUGAACAUAUAGUCCAAAGUAUUUCUAAUUCUAUAUCCAUGCCAUCAAGUCAAGAGAUUUAGAAUCCAGAUAGAAAAAAAGGACAUUAAAAUAGGUCUGGAUGCAAAAGAACUGGAUAACAGAUAACCAAAGCUCUUCCUGCCAAAUCUUGGCUAUUUGUCAAGUAUAGGCUAGCCAGAAAGACAACUGGACUACCAGAGCAGCCACAACCCCAGUUUAAAGAUCCCUAGAUCUUACACAGUACCUGGGAAAAUUGAGAUUCAACCGUGAAGCCAUCAGAAUUAUUUCUGAGCAAUCCCAACAAUCUAUUAUCUAAUAGAACAUAACCAGAUGAAGAGACCACUCUUCCAAUUGGAAAAACUGAAUAAACAAACUGCUUUCCAGUUAACCAGUCCUGGCACAUGAACAGCAAUAAGCAAUCUGCCCAGGAAAGAAAUAGAGAUCUUAUCCUCAUAACUAGGGAACUGUAAUUUCCCCUGAUGAUUGACACAAGAUACAGAUGUGACAUUGUCUAAUCUGAAAGAGAAAAAUCCUAAAAAAAAGUGCAUUUGUAGAGAUUACAGACAAAAGAAGCCCCUGCAUAAAGAGCUAAUAGCUUAUCUACCAAGACUGAAACAGAUUUGUUUUGGAAUCUAGAUGAGUCCUCAGAGUAGGGUUGCUACCUCAUCCAUGUUUUCCUGGACACUUAUGAGUUCUACAUGCUGCAGGGUGUACAGAGAGGAAUAUGAAUAGUGCUGUUCAUUGUCACUAUUUGUGUGCUGUCCCAGGUUGGAAUUCAUGUUCCUACCUGCACACCCUGCAGCAUGUAUAACUCAUAAAUGUCCAGGAAAACAUGGCUGAGGUGGCAACCCUACGGCUCAAAGACAACCAAGAAAGGUCCCUGUGUUAUUGGAAAAAGAUACAAAGCUGAAGAGAACUCGUAUGGAAGCGAGCAAAUGGAAAAGCAACCAUGGCCAAAACAUGAGACCUGACAUAUCCAUGCAAAGAGCAAUUGAAGGAAAAAAACAGAGACUGAACGUUCUAACAUGCAAACCCGAGCUUCAACUGUCUUUGCUCUGCCAAAGAAAGUCUCAAAGAAACUGAAUCUAUAAAACCCCCAGCAACCUUUAUCUGAGGAACCAGUAACAGUUUGGAAAAAUUACUUUCAAACCAUGUUGUUGAAGAAACAACAGUCUGCAGGAGAGAAAUAUUUCGGAAUGAAAAGUUGAAACCGAUUACAGAUAAGAGGGUAUCCAACAUCUUAGAGAAUAAGAGCAACAAACUGAAAAGGCUUGUCCAAAAAAGAAAAUCUCAGAAACUGAUGUUGUUCCUAAAUAUAAGAACAUAAAGGUAGGGAUCCUUAAAAUAUAUUGUGACAUAGAUUGACCUCACAGAAAAGUCUAAAUAGUUUUCAUUCUGAAAGUAGGAACUUGAGAAACAUUUUCAACGUUUCUAAAUCAUAAUAGGUCUGAGAGUUCCUUCCUACGUAUGGAACAAUAAAUAGGUUGGAGUUCCUAUCUACCUGAGCCUGAGUUCCUAGGAACAUAGAACAAAAACCUAUUCAAUAUCCUUGAGACUAUAAUAAGAAUUCACAGGAGGAAAAAAAUUAGACUGCUUACGCCUGUUUCACUUAAACUAAUGGGCACUGACCAUGUCAGCAUUCUCCAGAGCAAAUACAUUGGCCUGUCCUUGUAUCUAACUUUGCAGCCUUGCAAGUAGAUGCUAUAGUGCUCAAAUCUAGUAAAAGACACUAAAACAUUUAGCAAAUACCAUUCUAUUAUUUCCAGUCGGAACCAGAAAAACUCUGAUACUAGGUGGAAAAAAGAUCUCUGAGCCCUGUUCUGCUGAAAGGGACAAAACAGCAAUCUGACCUUAAAAUAUACCCUUGGACUACUAGUCCUGAGGAAGAAAAGCUCCAUAGACCCAUAAACUGUACAAAUAAUGGAAAUCCAAACCAGAACCAAAUAAAAUCUUUCUCUGUAAAGAAAGCGAUAAAUGUCUGGAAUAAUGUAAGCAGACAAGAUUUUAAUUAUGAGCUUCUAAAAAGAAUAGCUAAAAACACAUUCUAGCAUUAAUGAGUGACGGCAAAAGAAAGCUUUUGCACAUUUGAAGGGACAGUCUAGUCAAAAUUAAACUUUCAUGAUUCAGAUAGAGCAUGCAAAUUUAAACAACUUUCGAAUAUACUUUUAUCAUCAAAUUGUAUUUGCUGAAAACUAAACCUAGUUAGGCUCAUAUGCUAAUUUCUAAGCCCUUGAAUGCUGCCUCUUAUCUCAGGGCAUUUUGACAGUUUUUCACAGCUUGAGGGCAUUAGUUUAUGUGUGCCUUAUAGAUAACAUUGUGCUCACACAUGUGGAGAUACCUAGGAGUCAGCACUGAUUGACUAAAAUGCAUGUAUGUUAAAAGAACUAAAGUAAAGGGGCAGUCUGCAUAGGCUUAGGUAAAAGGUAAUCAUAGAGGUAAAUCGUUUAUUAAUAUAACUGUUGUUUAUGCAAAACUGGGGAAUGGGUAAUAAAGGGAUUAUCUAUCUUUUUGAACAAUAACAAUUCUGGAGUAGACCCUUUAAAUAACAGAAGAGGUUUAAAAACUCUCACUGGCAGAAUCAAAAGAAAACUGCACAGAAAGACAAAGAUUAAACAGCCACAUCAGCAAUAGAUAUCACUGGAUGGAAAAUAUAACUUGCUGGCAAAUAAGCCCUCCUAAGGAAGGAAAUAAACUUCCUAAUUAAAGGGACUACAAAGGAAAACCUGUCUUCGAAAGGAAUGCUAGAACAUAUAGCCAUAUUAAAAAUUACCCCAACCAUUUUGUGAUUAGCUUCAAAAAGCUCAAUAAUAGAAGCAUUAAAAUGAAAUAAAAGGAAUACCUGACUUUGUCCAAUUUCUGGAUAUAAUCUCAGAAACUGCAACAGGGACAAGAAACACACCAAGGGAUUAAACAGUAUAAUAUUUAACCCCUUAGUGACCAGAGCACUUUUCCAUUUUCUGUCCGUUUGGGACCAAGGCUAUUUUUACAUUUUUGCGGUGUUUGUGUUUAGCUGUAAUUUUCUUCUUACUCAUUUACUGUACCCACACAUAUUAUAUACCGUUUUUCUCGCCAUUAAAUGGACUUUCUAAAGA